ACGAUUUGUGUGAUUUUCUUUUGUAAAAUAUAUAAUAGUUUCAGGGAAUAUUUGAAAGGUAUAAUUUGCUAUUUUAUUUCUGUUUUUUUCACUUUCUUUCAUUUUUCA